UUCCUUCAAUCACAUAGAGCUUCUAUGAUGUUCUGGAUGGUUUAUUAGGAAUAUGCAGACAACCUUUAUUUUAUUAAGGUUCCAUUCCCCACCUUAAAUCUGCUGUAAGCAUAUUCAGUUUUGCCAGACAGUGAGAAGAGAGAAAAAAGAUGUCACCUGCUCCCAACACUAUGAGAAAGAGCCACUGCCCACUACCUCCCAGAGAGUAAUUGUCAACUCUCUCAGAGUAACAGCCACCCCAGAGAGUAACUGCCACUCCCAGAGACCAACCGCCACAGAAAAAAAAAAAAACAAAACUAUUAUACUGUCAACAUUUGAAACUGAUAUUGUCUCAUAUGAACUUUAAACUCCAAUUUUUUUCUCAAGCCAGCUUCUCUACUUCUUAUCUCUAAACUAAUAUAAUAAAACUUAAUUUCUAAUAUCA
rnacentral:lncRNA from 1 species